rnacentral:rRNA from 1 species
CUUAUGAAAAAGGGGCAAGACUAACAGGCAUUCUCCUAGCUAGCGGCGAGCGAAGCGGGAAGAGCUCAAAUUUAUAAUCUGGCACCUUCGGUGUCCGAGUUGUAAUCUCUAGAAAUGUUUUCCGCGUUGGACCGCACACAAUUCUGUUGGAAUACAGCGGCAUAGUGGUGAGACCCCCGUAUAUGGUGCGGACGCCCAGCGCUUUGUGAUACAUUUUCGAAGAGUCGAGUUGUUUGGGAAUGCAGCUCAAAUUGGGUGGUAAAUUCCAUCUAAAGCUAAAUAUUGGCGAGAGACCGAUAGCGAACUAGUACCGUGAGGGAAAGAUGAAAAGCACUUUGGAAAGAGAGUUAACAGUACGUGAAAUUGUUGGAAGGGAAACGCUUGAAGUCAGACUUGCUUGCCGAGCAAUCGGUUUGCAGGCCAGCCUCAGUUUUCCGGGAUGGAUAAUGGUAGAGAGAAGGUAGCAGUUUCGGCUGUGUUAUAGCUCUCUGCUGGAUACAUCUUGGGGGACUGAGGAACGCAGUGUGCCUUUGGCGGGGGUUUCGACCUCUUCACACUUAGGAUGCUGGUGGAAUGGCUUUAAACGACCCGUCUUGAAACACGGACCAACGAGUCUAACAUGCUUGCGAGUAUUUGGGUGUCAAACCCGGAUGCGUAAUGAAAGUGAAUGGAGGUGGGAACCGCAAGGUGCACCAUCGACCGAUCUGGAUUUUUAAUGAUGGAUUUGAGUAAGAGCACGUAUGUUGGGACCCGAAAGAUGGUGAACUAUGCCUGAAUAGGGCGAAGCCAGAGGAAACUCUGGUGGAGGCUCGUAGCGGUUCUGACGUGCAAAUCGAUCGUCAAAUUUGGGUAUAGGGGCGAAAGACUAAUCGAACCAUCUAGUAGCUGGUUCCUGCCGAAGUUUCCCCUCAGG